rnacentral:ncRNA from 1 species
UCAAUUUUAUGCAAAGUGAAGAACCUUAGUAGGGCUUGACAUAUUGUGAAUCCUCCUAAAAGAGAGGAGUUCUCUUGAGAACGUGGACAUAGGUAGUGCAUGGCCAUCAUCAAGUUGUAUGGUAAGGUGUGGGUUAAGUUCCACAUAGAGCACAACCCUCAUGUUUAGUUUCCAACAUUGAAUUUGGAACCCUCAAACGUGGACAUAGCAGUGCAUGGCCAUCAUCAACUUGUAUGGUAAGGUGUUGGGUUAAGUUCCACAGAGAGCACAACCCU